UACGUAGGGGGGCAAGCGUUGUCCGGAUUUAUUGGGCGUAAAGCGCUCGCAGGUGGUCCGAUGCGUCGUGCGUGAAAGACCCUGGCUCAACCUCGAGAGGUCACUGGAAACCAUUUGGCUAGAGUCCGGAAGAGGAGAGUGGAAUUCCUGGUGUAGCGGUGAAAUGCGCAGAUAUCAGGAGGAACACCGAUGGCGAAGGCAGGUCUCUGGGCCACUACUGACGCUGAGAAGCGAAAGCAUGGGGAGCGAACAGG
rnacentral:rRNA from 1 species